GGUUCAGUCACGUGUCAUGGAAAUAUGGUAAAGAACGUGAACUGUCCUAAAGAUCAGUACAUGGUGGUUAAGAAUGCAUCGUACCGUGCAUUUCCUGCCACAAAGACAUGUGGUUUGAGUGACGAUUAUAGUUGCGAAGCUAAUGUAACAUGUAUUGUUAAGAAAGAAUGUGAUGGUCAACACGAGUGCAAAUUAAUUGUGGAUGACAAGUUGUUCUCUGGUUAUCUGUGUACUGAAUUGAAAAAAUAUCUUUACUUUGAAUAUCAAUGCGUUGAUACAGCGAUGCCUUUUAAUGAACAUUGGGCUGUGUAGACUGAGUACUGACAAUAGAGAGGUUUAAAUUUUACUUCCACUACAGCUACUUGUCGGUGACUUAAUACUUAUGUUAAUUGGUUAUUAUAAUCUCUGAUUGGUUAAUUGUAACGGUAGUGAAAGUCAAAUCUGAAUCUUUCUACUUUACCUUAAUUUUUAAUUUAUGUUACUCUAUGUUUAGCCAAUAGCCACAUAUAAUAUUCCAGACAUACUGUGUAGAAUAUAGACAUACACAAAUAAUAUUAUUCAUGGUAAAAAGAGAUCGAGAAACCACAAGGCUACUUUCAUGGCAAAACGCAACAAGCAUUAGCUACAUUCACUAUUCAUUGAUUCUGUUGUAAGAUGGCAGUGUUAUA